rnacentral:lncRNA from 1 species
AUCUCGUCGCGCCGCUGUGCCUGCUCCGCCGACUCCUCCAGGAGUGUCUUCUCGUUCCCACGCGAGUGCAGGUUGGACAGCAGCUCCGAGAAGAUGAACUCCUUGGUCUGCCUGCUCUGCCGACUCCUCCAGGAGUGUCUUCUCGUUCCCACGCGAUGCAGGUUGGACAGCAGCUCUGAGAAGCAGCAUCUCGUCGCGCCGCUGUGCCUACUCUGCCGACUCCUCCAUGAGUG